rnacentral:rRNA from 1 species
GCAUGCCUAAUACAUGCAAGUCGGUCGGGGCCGCAAGGCCCAGAGGCGAACGGGUGAGUAACACGUGCCCAAUCUGCCCCAAAGAGGGGGACAACCGGUCGAAAGACCAGCUAAUACCCCAUAGGACGUCACUAGCGCAUGCGAAGACGUUUAAAGGCGGGUCAAACCGCCGCUUUGGGAUGAGGGUGCGCCAUAUCAGGUAGUAGGCGGUGUAACGGACCACCUAGCCAAUGACGUGUAGCUGUACUGAGAGGUAGAACAGCCACAAUAGGACUGAGACACGGCCUAUACUCCUACGGGAGGCAGCAGUAGGGAAUUUUUCACAAUGGGCGAAAGCCUGAUGGAGCAAUGCCGCGUGGACGAUGAAGGUCUUCGGAUCGUAAAGUCCUUUUACGGGGGAUGAAUGUUCGCGGCAGGCAAUGGCCGCGAAAUGACCGUACCCCGGGAAUAAGCAAUGGCUAACUAUGUGCCAGCAGCCGCGGUAAUACAUAGAUUGCGAGCGUUAUCCGGAUUUACUGGGCGUAAAGCAAGCGCAGGCUGUCGCGAAAGUCCGGUGUUAAAUGGCGCGGCUCAACCGCGUCAUGCAUUGGAAACCUCGCGACUAGAGAGUGGUAGAGAUUUUCGGAAUUCCAAGUGUAUCGGUGGAAUGAGUAGAUAUUUGGAAGAACACCAGUGGCGAAAGCGGAAAAUUUGGCCAUUUCUGACGCUUAGGCUUGAAAGUGUGGGGAGCAAAUAGGAUUAGAUACCCUAGUAGUCCACACCGUAAACGAUGGGGACUAGUUGUCGGCAAGAUAUUGUCGGUAACGCAGCUAACGCAUUAAGUUCCCCGCCUGGGUAGUAC